GACGAACGCUGGCGGCGUGCUUAACACAUGCAAGUCGAACGAUGAACCCGGAGCUUGCUCCGGCGGAUUAGUGGCGAACGGGUGAGUAACACGUGAGUAACCUGCCCUUGACUCUGGGAUAACUGCGGGAAACUGUAGCUAAUACCGGAUACGACCCUCGGAGGCAUCUCCAGGGGGUGGAAAGAAUUUCGGUCAAGGAUGGACUCGCGGCCUAUCAGCUAGUUGGUGAGGUAAUGGCUCACCAAGGCGACGACGGGUAGCCGGCCUGAGAGGGUGACCGGCCACACUGGGACUGAGACACGGCCCAGACUCCUACGGGAGGCAGCAGUGGGGAAUAUUGCACAAUGGGCGCAAGCCUGAUGCAGCAACGCCGCGUGAGGGAUGACGGCCUUCGGGUUGUAAACCUCUUUUAGUAGGGAAGAAGCGAAAGUGGCGGUACCUGCAGAAAAAGCACCGGCUAACUACGUGCCAGCAGCCGCAGUAA
rnacentral:rRNA from 1 species